rnacentral:misc_RNA from 1 species
UGGUUUGUUUUGGGUGGAUGGCUCUUGCUUGUGCAACAACUUCCACCUGGCUUACCUCUUCAGUUAUUUGGUUAGGUUUGUAUUGCCUAAACUAAUCGUGGGUUUCCUGUGCUGGCUACCUAAGAUAUGGUACUGUAUUGAUUGAUCCAAGUCGCUUUCGUCUKGUCUCAUUCUUAUGGCACAAGACGAACCAGAAGSCAGUCUUUUUGUUCCACAUCGUUAAUGCAUGCGUUGAUGUUGUGGCACAUUGAGCGUUGCUUGGUAUCCUGUAUACGGAACAUGAAAGGGGCAUGGGGUCUAAUGAGAUCCUUCUUUUGCCCUCAUUCGGUGAAUGCGAAACUCUUAACACGACUUUCCUGCCUGAAAUUGGCUCGUUACCAGCGGGCGGGUUAUGUCAAAGAGGAAUG